rnacentral:rRNA from 1 species
GAGAUGUGUGAUGACGCAUAUCAAUAAGCGGAGGAAAAGAAACUAACAAGGAUUCCCUUAGUAACGGCGAGUGAAGCGGGAAGAGCUCAAAUUUGAAAUCUUCAAGGUUCUACCUUGACGAAUUGUAGUUUAUAGAAGUGUUUUCUGUUAGUGGAGUGGCAAAAGUUCUUUGGAAUAGGACAUCAUAGAGGGUGAGAAUCCCGUAUUUGGUCAUUCCUCCUAGCGUUGUGAUACACUUUCAAGAGUCGGAUUGUUUGGGAAUGCAGUCCAAAAUGGGUGGCUAAAUUUCAUCUAAAGCUAAAUAUUGGCGAGAGACCGAUAGCGAACAAGUACCGUGAGGGAAAGAUGAAAAGAACUUUGAAAAGAGAGUUAAACAGUACGUGAAAUUGUCAAAAGGGAAGCGUUUGACACCAGUGUUGUUUUUCCGAAAAUCAAUUACGAAUGUUUUAUUUUUGAGGAGUUAUGACUUCAUCGGCUUGCUUCUUUCUUUACGAAACUUUCUUAAUGCACUUUUCGGUUAACAAGUCAACAUCAAUUUCUUUUGUUGUAAAAGGGUAUGAGGAAGGUGGCUUUCUUUUCGGAGAAAGUGUUUAUAGCCUUGUGCCUCUGCGAUCGGAGAGAUUGAGGUCUGCAGCGUAGAUCCUUCGGGGUUAGAUACGUUUGUGCUAAGUUAUAGCCUUUCAUAGACAACUUGUUGACUAUGUUUAGUCUUGUAGCUUACUCGCUGACGCUAUUUUACCUACGCUUAGGAUGUUGAACUCUAUCACACACAG